rnacentral:rRNA from 1 species
UGGGGAAUAUUGCACAAUGGGCGAAACCCUGAUGCAGCAACGCCGCGUGAGUGAAGAAGGUCUUCGGAUCGUAAAGCUCUGUUGUAUGGGACGAUAAUGACGGUACCAUACAAGGAAGCCACGGCUAACUACGUGCCAGCAGCCGCGGUAAUACGUAGGGGGCAAGCGUUAUCCGGAUUCAUUGGGCGUAAAGAGCUCGUAGGGGGCCCGUUAGGUCAGGAGUCAAAUUCGGGGGCUCAACCCCCGCGCGCUCCUGAUACCGGUGGGCUUGAGUUUGGUAGGGGAAGGUGGAAUUCCCAGUGUAGCGGUGGAAUGCGCAGAUAUUGGGAAGAACACCGGUGGCGAAGGCGGCCUUCUGGGCCAUAACUGACGCUGAGGAGCGAAAGCUAGGGGAGCGAACAGGAUUAGAUACCCUGGUAGUCCUAGCCGUAAACGAUGGACACUAGGUGUGGGCGAAUGUUUCGUCCGCGCCGCAGCCAACGCAUUAAGUGUCCCGCCUGGGGAGUACGGCCGCAAGGCUA